AUCUAAGCAAAAAUUACUUUUUAGGUUCAUUUAUUUAAUGAUGUAUGUGAUCCAUAAUAUGGAUCACAUACAUCAUUAAAUGAAUGAACCUAAAAAGUAAUUUUUACUUAUAU
rfam:Medicago truncatula strain A17 chromosome 5, whole genome shotgun sequence.